rnacentral:rRNA from 1 species
UACGGGGGGAGCAAGCGUUGUUCGGAUUUACUGGGCGUAAAGGGCGCGUAGGCGGUCAGCACAAGUCAGUUGUGAAAUCUCCGGGCUUAACUCGGAAAGGUCAACUGAUACUGUGCGACUAGAGUGCAGAAGGGGCAACUGGAAUUCUCGGUGUAGCGGUGAAAUGCGUAGAUAUCAAGAGGAACACCUGCGGCGAAGGCGGGUUGCUGGGCCGACACGUGACGCUGAGUGCGCGAAAGCCAGGGGAGCGAACGGG